GUUGAUAAAUAAAAUAAUUUUCUCUUUCUUCCAGGUAUGCUACCGGUAAGAUGGAUGGCACCAGAGUCCUUGGGACUAGGUAUCUUCACUCCAGCUUCGGAUGUUUGGUCCUAUGGCGUUCUUUUGUACGAGAUUAUCACGUUCGGUAGCUUCCCUUUCCAGGGUAUGAGCAACACCGAAGUACUGAACCAUGUUAAGAGUGGAAAUUCGUUGAUGGUUCCUAAAGGAGUGAAGUUACAAUUAGAAAACUUGAUGUACUCUUGUUGGAGACCAGAUCACGUAAAGAGGCCAACUGCUCCGGAGAUCGUCGAGUUUCUAGCGACGAAUCCUCGAAUUUUAUCUCCGUGUUUAGACGUUCCUUUGGCCAGUGUGCAAAUCGAGCAUACUGGACAAUUAGAUAUAGAGUUACCAGAGAAUUUGAGGAAGUUUUCAUUGUCGUGGCCACCUCAGAAUUCCACGACUCGAUCCACAUCUACGUCCAGCCCUUUCGGUAUACCGUAUCCUCCUUUGCUAGACAUCAACGAUCACGACGAUAAGCCGAUUCAAAACUCGAUUGUAGGCAAUGGAAUCGCCGAUAUAGAGAGUUCCAGGCCACUUUUGAAGGCUAACGAAUCUUUGUCUGGUUUACCUAUGAUUCUUCAAAGUUUCAAGCAGAAAGAGGACUCACCGCAUAAAUACGUGAACAUACAGCCGGGAAUAUCGAAUAAUUGCGAUUAUUCGAGCGAUCAGAACGGUGGUGGCAUUCAAAUGGAGGAAAGAAGGGCUAUAUUGCCGGAAAAUAGAAAGUCGGAGGACGUGUCGAUUCUUUGACAGCAAAACAAACAUGCGAUUUCGCGGCAAAAAUCAAUGGUGCAUUUCUAUAAGCACGCCGAAGGCAUAUUUGGAAAAUAUGCAAAAAGAUCUUACAGAAAGACCAGCGUUUAGAUCACUUUGUGACCUAAUUUUGUUGGUCGGAUUCACGUGUUUCCGAACGUUGAAAACGGACGUUUUUACAAGCGUGGAUUCUUCGCUAUAUGUUUGCGAAGUGAGGAGAUAUGCAACGUGUUUAAUUGAUACAUUGGGGAUUAAAAUCUUAUCGAUUUAACUAUGAUGAAGAGAGAUUUACAAUAGAUACGAUCAAGGAAAACAAUAUCAGUUGCAACGAGCGGAAAUGACUUUUCGAAUGCAGAUAAGCGAAAUGAUUCCCUAGAUUUUCGCUCAAUCCAUUUUUGAGACUGAUAAAUGUAAAAAAAAAAAAAA
rnacentral:misc_RNA from 1 species